AGCAGCCGCGGUAAUUCCAGCUCCAAUAGCGUAUAUUAAAGUUGUUGCAGUUAAAAAGCUCGUAGUUGAAUUUUGGGUUUGGCCAAUUGGUCCGUUCUUGUAACGAGUACUGGUUGGUUGGGCCUCACCGCCUGGUGAUACGUAAUGUCCUUUAUUGGGUGUUGCGAGUAGCCAGGACCUUUACCUUGAAAAAAUUAGAGUGUUUAAAGCAGGCUUAUGCCGGAAUACAUUAGCAUGGAAUAAUAGAAUAGGACGAUGAUUCUAUUUUGUUGGUUUCUAGGAGCAUCGUAAUGAUUAAUAGGGAUAGUUGGGGGCAUUAGUAUUCAAUUGUCAGAGGUGAAAUUCUUGGAUUUAUUGAAGACUAACUACUGCGAAAGCAUUUGCCAAGGAUGUUUUCAUUAAUCAAGAACGAAAGUUAGGGGAUCGAAGACGAUCAGAUACCGUCGUAGUCUUAACCAUAAACUAUGCCGACUAGGGAUCGGGCGAUGUUGUUUCAAUGACUCGCUCGGCACCUUAUGGA
rnacentral:misc_RNA from 1 species